GAACUGAAGAGUUUGAUCCUGGCUCAGAUUGAACGCUGGCGGCAUGCCUUACACAUGCAAGUCGAACGGCAGCACGGGGGCAACCCUGGUGGCGAGUGGCGAACGGGUGAGUAAUACAUCGGAACGUGUCCUGUAGUGGGGGAUAGCCCGGCGAAAGCCGGAUUAAUACCGCAUACGCUCUACGGAGGAAAGGGGGGGAUCU
rnacentral:ncRNA from 1 species